AAGGUUACCGCCGAGAGGCCGCGUCCUCAGCUGGUCCUAGACAUGCGUGGCGUCGGGGCUGUGGCACGGUCGGGUCCGGGGUCCUGGUUCCCAUUUGUAAUUGGCACCCUAAUGAAACCGUUUUCUGUAGCCCUGGAAAUGGCUGAAAAUGAGGGGAGGGAAAUAAAGUGCUAUAAUUCAGAGCAUGGAGCACACCUUCCUGGUUCACCUGAGCUGGAUUCGGAGAGGUAAAAUGGCCAUUACCUCGUCUAAGCUGCCACUUACAGACACAGUACAGGAUGAGGCCCAGACCCACAGAGACAACGAUGAUGGCCACAGCUAAGAUGAUCCAGAAAUUAUUCCUCCACCAGCUCAUUGCAGUGGAAUCCUGAGAAGAAUGGAGAGAGAAGAAUGAGGUAUGAAUGAAAGAUAUCCUGGGGUUGGGUGGAGUGGGGCAGUUAUCUACUGUGGGUUGUUUUUUUUUUCUUUUCUGAGUCGGAGUCUCACUCUGUCGCCCAGGCUGGAGUGCAAUGACGUGAUCUCAGCUCUCAGCUCACUGCAACCUCCACCUCCCG
rnacentral:lncRNA from 1 species